AUUGAACGCUGGCGGCAGGCCUAACACAUGCAAGUCGAACGGUAACAGGAAACAGCUUGCUGUUUCGCUGACGAGUGGCGGACGGGUGAGUAAUGUCUGGGAAACUGCCUGAUGGAGGGGGAUAACUACUGGAAACGGUAGCUAAUACCGCAUAACGUCGCAAGACCAAAGAGGGGGACCUUCGGGCCUCUUGCCAUCGGAUGUGCCCAGAUGGGAUUAGCUAGUAGGUGGGGUAACGGCUCACCUAGGCGACGAUCCCUAGCUGGUCUGAGAGGAUGACCAGCCACACUGGAACUGAGACACGGUCCAGACUCCUACGGGAGGCAGCAGUGGGGAAUAUUGCACAAUGGGCGCAAGCCUGAUGCAGCCAUGCCGCGUGUAUGAAGAAGGCCUUCGGGUUGUAAAGUACUUUCAGCGGGGAGGAAGGCGAUGCGGUUAAUAACCGCGUCGAUUGACGUUACCCGCAGAAGAAGCACCGGCUAACUCCGUGCCAGCAGCCGCGGUAAUACGGAGGGUGCAAGCGUUAAUCGGAAUUACUGGGCGUAAAGCGCACGCAGGCGGUCUGUCAAGUCGGAUGUGAAAUCCCCGGGCUCAACCUGGGAACUGCAUUCGAAACUGGCAGGCUAGAGUCUUGUAGAGGGGGGUAGAAUUCCAGGU
rnacentral:rRNA from 1 species